rnacentral:rRNA from 1 species
UACGUAGGGGGCUAGCGUUGUCCGGAAUCAUUGGGCGUAAAGCGCGCGUAGGCGGCCAGAUAAGUCCGGUGUGAAAGCCACAGGCUCAACCUGUGAAUGCCGCUGGAAACUGUCUGGCUAGAGUCCGGGAGGGGCGAGUGGAAUUCCUGGUGUAGCGGUGAAAUGCGCAGAUAUCAGGAGGAACACCUAUGGCGAAGGCAGCUCGCUGGAACGGUACUGACGCUGAGGCGCGAAAGCGUGGGGAGCGAACAGG